UGCAGAAUCCCGUGAACCAUCGAGUUUUUGAACGCAAGUUGCGCCCGAAGCCAUCUGGUUGAGGGCACGUCUGCCUGGGCGUCACGU
rnacentral:rRNA from 1 species